rnacentral:rRNA from 1 species
UUAAAUUGAAGAGUUUGAUCAUGGCUCAGAUUGAACGCUGGCGGCAGGCCUAACACAUGCAAGUCGAACGGUAACAGGAAGCAGCUUGCUGCUUUGCUGACGAGUGGCGGACGGGUGAGUAAUGUCUGGGAAACUGCCUGAUGGAGGGGGAUAACUACUGGAAACGGUAGCUAAUACCGCAUAACGUCGCAAGACCAAAGAGGGGGACCUUCGGGCCUCUUGCCAUCGGAU